GCGUAUUAGUUUCUCAUUAUGGGAAUCCACUCUUGCGCCGGUGUAUACGGCCCCUUAAGCCUCGUGCUGGUUGAUCGUUUUGCUCUAUAUAUAAUGCACUUGAGACUUGUUCUUAAGAGUAUAAACUAAGAUUAGUUUGCAGUAUGCAUUCCGAUCUUGAUCUUGAUCUCAAAUCAGGCAAGACUACCCGCUGAAUUUAA
rnacentral:misc_RNA from 1 species